UGGGGAAUUUUGUACAAUGGGCGCAAGCCUGAUCCAACCAUGCCGCGUGCAGGAAGAAGGCCUUCGGGUUGUAAACUGCUUUUGUACGGAACGAAAAAGUCUUGGUUAAUCCCCUGGGUUGUUGACGGUACCGUAAGAAUAAGCACCGGCUAAUUAUCGUGCCAGCACCCCGCGGUAAUAUCGUAGGGUGCGAGCGUUAAUCUGGAAUUACUGGGCGUAAAGCGUGCGCAGGCGGUUUUGUAAGACAGAUGGUGAAAUACCCCGGGCUCAACCUGGGAAAGGCCUUUGUGACUCCAAGGCUGGAGUGCGGCAGAGGGGGAUGGAAUUCCGCGUGUAGCAGUGAAAUGCGUAGAUAUGCGGAGGAACACCGAUGGGGAAGGCAAUCCCCUGGGCCUGCACUGACGCUCAUGCACGAAAGCGUGGGGAGCAAACAGGAUUAGAUAUCCCUGGUAGUCCACGCCCUAAACGAUGUCAUCUGGUUGUUGGGUGUAAGCUGACUCAGUAACGCAGCCAACGGAUGAAGUGACCGCCUGGGAUACGCCGCACGG
rnacentral:rRNA from 1 species